rnacentral:rRNA from 1 species
GACGAACGCCGGCGGCGUGCCUAAUACAUGCAAGUAGAACGCUGAAGCUUGGUGCUUGCACCGAGCGGAUGAGUUGCGAACGGGUGAGUAACGCGUAGGUAACCUGCCUGGUAGCGGGGGAUAACUAUUGGAAACGAUAGCUAAUACUGCAUAAUAGCAGUUGUUGCAUGACAACUGUUUAAAAGGUGCAAUUGCAUCACUACCAGAUGGACCUGCGUUGUAUUAGCUAGUUGGUGGGGUAACGGCUCACCAAGGCGACGAUACGUAGCCGACCUGAGAGGGUGAUCGGCCACACUGGGACUGAGACACGGCCCAGACUCCUACGGGAGGCAGCAGUAGGGAAUCUUCGGCAAUGGACGGAAGUCUGACCGAGCAACGCCGCGUGAGUGAAGAAGGUUUUCGGAUCGUAAAGCUCUGUUGUAAGAGACGAAACGAGUGCGAGAAGUGGAAAAGUUUCACAACUGGG